rnacentral:rRNA from 1 species
AUUGAACGCUGGCGGCAUGCCUUACACAUGCAAGUCGAACGGCAGCAUGGAGAGCUUGCUCUCUGAUGGCGAGUGGCGAACGGGUGAGUAAUGCAUCGGAACGUACCGUGUAAUGGGGGAUAACGUAGCGAAAGUUACGCUAAUACCGCAUACGACCUGAGGGUGAAAGCAGGGGAUCGCAAGACCUUGCGUUAUACGAGCGGCCGAUGUCAGAUUAGCUAGUUGGUGAGGUAAAGGCUCACCAAGGCGACGAUCGGUAGCGGGUCUGAGAGGAUGAUCGGACACACUGGGACUGAGACACGGCCCAGACUCCCACGGGAGGCAGCAGUGGGGAAGUUUGGCCAAUGGGGGCAACCCUGAUCCAGCCAUGCCGCGUGAGUGAAGAAGGCCUUCGGGUUGUAAAGCUCUUUCGGCCGGGAAGAAAUCGCACAGGCUAAUACUCUGUGUGGAUGACGGUACCGGCAUAAGAAGCACCGGCUAACUACGUGCUAGCCGCCGCCGUAA